GGAUCAUUUAAGACAGAUAGAUAUAUGCUCCCUUCCAUUCAGGGAAAGUCAUUUGGAUAAGGUGCUUUUUGGAGGCUUUUUUGAUGAAAAUGUGAAGAGAGCAGGGAAUGGGGAAUUGUUAUUUAAUGGAGUGAGUUACAGUUUGAGAAAAUGAAAAAGUUCUGAAGGAAGGCGACACACUCCCUCUGCAUUUUCUCAUUGUGCCGUUAUCAUCUUACCUGGGUCUAUCAGCUGGUGCCUGGGCAAGCAACAGAUGACUCUGACGUUACUAGAAGACAAAGAGAGCUUUAGCUAUAGGAGAGAGACAACCAACAGACUAGAAAAAUGAACUAAAGAACUUCAGAACAUAGAGUCCCUGAACAGUUUGGUUAUGCUACCAUGAUUCAGCUUCAAAAGAGCGUCCAAAACAGAAUCCUACCUG
rnacentral:lncRNA from 1 species